AAGAAAUACACCGUCACACAAUCAUAUGCUCAUGCAGAUCUUUAUUUCUAUGCAAUAAUUGAGAGAGAAAAAAAUCAAAAUUCCACCAAAUAAAUGUUCAUACUCAGUGUUGUUGCCAUGAUUUGUAGUUCAGCCUUAGAUUAUGUAGAAGUUAAACAGUCAGACAAAUGAGAGAAUUCAGAAUUAUUAACAAAUAUAAUCCUCGUUCAUCAGCUGAUAACAUCACACUAUCAGUUUGUGAACGUACUCCAAUGAAGUUUAAGAUGUUCCGCCUGAAAUUCA